GGGAGGACGAACAGGACGCUAUCCAAGCCCAAGAAAACCUUCAUCUCACGGGCUUGGAUGAAAGGACAACUUCUUCUCCAAUCUGCUGCAUUUUUUUGUUAUUGCUUUAUAUUUCCUGAGCCACACUAAGAGCAGCCGCCUUCAGAGGAUAUGGAAGUGCAGUAUUGAUCUAGAAGGUGGAGCGGAGGAAAAGAUGAGGGAUUUCGCCGCUUCCUCACCGUUUGCAAGCUCAGGUUCACCGUUCAUUGCUAAUGAAUGGCUGCUAAUGAGCCUACUUUUUCCUUCCUUCCUCAUAUAAUAUAAGACUCUUUUUUUUUUUUUUUUUACCUGUAACAAAUCCAAAUGUGAAGACGUGACAUGGGACUUAAGGCAUCAGUCCUGAAAAUCUCAACGCAGAGUUCCUACUUUUUGGCAUGGCGUGGACAGCACAGGGCUUGACAAGGAUGGGGUCCUUGCUGCAUGCAACUGGCGAGAAGGGAAGGAAACGUGGACCAUGUGGAGAUGAAGCCACUCUUUGUCGCCAUGACGAUGUAAAGCUGCAAUCAAGGACAGGAACACAUGCAACAAAGUGCGUGCUUUUUUUUAUUAAUUUGUCGUCAUGUGAGCAGGUAAAUUGAAGAAGCUUCUAAAAUGUAUUUUGAGGAGUCCUAAAGGGUUGAGCAACCACAUCUGUUUAGAACUGCAGCUAUAAUCAGAAAUCAGUCAUACUUUUUCAUUUAUGUUCAGUUAUGAAUAUGCCUAAUUAAAAGCAUGUCUUGCCAAAUUGUCUUAUCUAAAAACAAUAAUUAAUUUUGGAUUGGAUUGGAUUGGAUACAACUUUAUUGUCAAAUGUGCUGUAUGUGUAACA